rnacentral:rRNA from 1 species
GGGCCCGCACAAGCGGUGGAGCAUGUGGUUUAAUUCGAUGAUACGCGAGGAACCUUACCAGGGCUUAAAUGCAGAGCGACAGAGGUGGAAACACCUCCUUCUUCGGACGGUCUGCAAGGUGCUGCAUGGUUGUCGUCAGCUCGUGCUGUGAAGUGUCGGGUUAAGUCCCAUAACGAGCGCAACCCCUAUUUCUAGUUGCCAGCGGUUCGGCCGGGGACUCUAGAGAAACUGCCAGCGUAAGCUGUGAGGAAGGUGGGGAUGACGUCAAAUCAUCACGGCCCUUACGUCCUGGGCCACACACGUGCUACAAUGGUAAGGACAGAGAGUUGCCAACCCGCGAGGGUGAGCUAAUCUUCAAAGCCGAUCACAGUUCGGAUCGGAGUCUGCAACUCGACUCCGUG